CCUCUAACCUAAUCAUUGUCUUCAUGAGAAUUUAUCCCAAGGAAAGCAUUCAACAGAAGCAGAAUUUUAUAUAAAUCAGCAUGUUUAUUGCAGAGUUAGCUAUAAUAGUAAAAAAAAGGAAAAAGAAAUAACCAGAAUGCCCAAUACUAACAAUUACUUGAUGGGUAUGAUAGACUCAUUAAAAUGAUACUAAAUUGCAACAUAGAACUUUUAUGUCACCAUGUUAACACAAAUAGACAAUGGAAUUGUUUCUUUCACGUAGACUAUACAAAAUGCACACAAAAAAUGAUAGUCAUUGCUUUAUUGAGAUGGCGAGAUGACAGGUAAUCUUUUUAUUCAAACCCUAUCUUUAAUAUUGCUACAUCAACUUCUCAGUAAUUAAAACGUUUAUAUCAUCUGUAUGUGGGAGGCAAAACAUACAAUUUAUUAUUCAUUCUGAAAGAAUUGUCACUUCACAAACUCACUAGCAUUUGUCAUCUAGAUUUUUAAAAUUUUGAUUGCAUGCCUCCCCACCCCCACCCACCAACACUGUAUUGCUUUCCUCUUCACAGGAUCCUUCCCCAAAUCCUCUAUUUCUCUUGCUUUUUUCCAGCACAUUCUCUCCAAGAUCGUCAGAUUCCCUUUGGCCUUCAGAGAGCUGGAUUCCUGGGUAUUGGAAAAAGCCCACAGCCACGUUCAUUUCCGACUCAAAAGAAAAGGAGCACUAGUACAUUUAUGAGUGCCUAUGAUUCACAAGAACAGCUCUUUUAUGUUGGCUGUAAUAAUGCCAUUCCGGGUAAUGGACCAGACAGAAAGGAAGAAAACGCAGGACCAGAAGAGCCACAAACAACAUUUCAGGAUCAGCGUAAUGGUUGCCAGAACAUGAAAAAUCGCAGAGCUUCCAGGCCCUGAGCCAACCUUAUUCAGGACUCAGGGGGGAAAAAACCAGUCUGGGUAAAUUCUCAGUGUAAACUCCGAGGGGAGCACAUCACUAUGUCAGCCUAAAGAGAGGAUGAACCCCUGCACCUCUGUCUCGGCUUACUGUUAUUCCACCCCCAGCAAAAUGCACACUAAGUUUAAAAUGUCACCUUUGGGCUUCCUUUCACUCAGCUUACUCAGCUCAUCUUUACAGAUUGCAUCCACACCCUGUGUCUACACACAUUUCCUAAAUAUUGUCAAAUCAAGUGAUCAGUUUUGUCAAAUAAAAGAAAAAAAAAUUACA
rnacentral:lncRNA from 1 species